rnacentral:rRNA from 1 species
GUGGGGAAUAUUGGACAAUGGGCGAAAGCCUGAUCCAGCCAUGCCGCGUGUGUGAAGAAGGUCUUCGGAUUGUAAAGCACUUUAAGUUGGGAGGAAGGGCAUUAACCUAAUACGUUAGUGUUUUGACGUUACCGACAGAAUAAGCACCGGCUAACUUCGUGCCAGCAGCCGCGGUAAUACGAAGGGUGCAAGCGUUAAUCAGAAUUACUGGGCGUAAAGCGCGCGUAGGUGGUUCGUUAAGUUGGAUGUGAAAGCCCCGGGCUCAACCUGGGAACUGCAUCCAAAACUGCAUGACUAGAGUACGGUAGAGGGUAGUGGAAUUUCCUGUGUAGCGGUGAAAUGCGUAGAUAUAGGAAGGAACACCAGUGGCGAAGGCGACUACCUGGACUGAUACUGACACUGAGGUGCGAAAGCGUGGGGAGCAAACAGGAUUAGAAACCCUAGUAGUCC